rnacentral:rRNA from 1 species
GACGAACGCUGGCGGCGUGCUUAACACAUGCAAGUCGAACGGUAAGGCCCUUCGGGGUACACGAGUGGCGAACGGGUGAGUAACACGUGGGGGAUCUGCCCUGCACUUCGGGAUAAGCCUGGGAAACUGGGUCUAAUACCGGAUAGGACCACUGCCUGCAUGGGUGGUGGUGGAAAGCUUUUGCGGUGUGGGAGGGGCCGGCGGCCUAUCAGCUUGUUGGUGGGGUGAUGGCCUACCAAGGCGACGACGGGUAGCCGGCCUGAGAGGGUGACCGCCCACAAUGGGACUGCGAGACGGCCCAGAGUGCUACGGGAGGCAGCAGGGGGGAGUAUUGCACAAUGGGGGCAAGCCUGAUGCAGCGACGCCGCGUGAGGGAUGACGGCUUUCGGGUUGUAAACCUCUUUCAGCACCGACGAAGCGCAAGUGACGGUAGGUGCAGAAGAAGGACCGGCCAACUACGUGCCAGCAGCCGCGGUAA